AUCCAGCUGACGAGUCCCAAAUAGGACGAAACGAGCGUGCUAGAU
rnacentral:hammerhead_ribozyme from 1 species